rnacentral:rRNA from 1 species
AGUGAACGCUGGCGGUAGGCCUAACACAUGCAAGUCGAACGGCAGCACAGUAAGAGCUUGCUCUUACGGGUGGCGAGUGGCGGACGGGUGAGGAAUACAUCGGAGUCUACUUUUUCGUGGGGGAUAACGUAGGGAAACUUACGCUAAUACCGCAUACGACCUACGGGUGAAAGCAGGGGAUCUUCGGACCUUGCGCGAUUGAAUGAGCCGAUGUCGGAUUAGCUAGUUGGCGGGGUAAAGGCCCACCAAGGCGACGAUCCGUAGCUGGUCUGAGAGGAUGAUCAGCCACAAUGGAACGGAGACACGGUCCAGACUCCUGCGGGAGGCAGCAGUGGGGAAUAUUGGACAAUAGGCGCAAGCCUGAUCCAGCCAUACCGCGUGGGUGAAGAAGGCCUUCGGGUUGUAAAGCCCUUUUGUUGGGAAAGAAAAGCAGCAGGUUAAUACCCCGCUGUUCUGACGGUACCCAAAGAAUAAGCACCGGCUAACUUCGUG